AGUGGGAUGGUAGCAGUUGGUAGCUCGUGAGCCUCAUAAGCUCAAGGUCGAGGGUUCGAGUCCCUCUCCCGCUA